ACAUUUAUGGGUCGUAUCUUGGUAGAUAGUAUUCAUUAGGGACACCGAAUACGCGUCAGCGGACAGGAUAAAAAAAAAUGGAAAAAAUGAUUCGAUCUACACUCGUGGGAAGUCUGUGAUCUUCCUAAAGGCGACUAUAAAUCAAUGCAGUAUUUAAGAUUGGCCUAAUGCAGAUCUUUUAAUAUCAAAAUGAAAUAUCGAAUCACAUUUUGCUUUCUUUAUCUUAUAUUAUCUAUUAAUGGAAAUUAUUUUAUUAUUUUAUCUAUUAAUGGAAAUGGAAGGAAAAUACUAAUUAUAGAAUUAAAAUUAAAGGAAGUUGUAACGAUAACACGCAACAUUUUUACAGUAAUAAUCGUUUAUCUUAAAAAAAUAAUUAAAUAUUUAUAAAAAAUAUAUUCUACAAGCUUCUAUAAAAGAAAUAAUUUAUUAAAAAAUAAAAAAUUUUAUGAACUCUAUACAACUCAAAAAAAAGAAAAAAAAAAUAGAAUUUUGAUGUCAAAAGAAUUUUUCAUAUUCUUUCGUAUUUUAAGGUACGUAGUCAAAUUGUCGGAGAAUGUAACGCGACAGUCGUAUAUCAUCAUUUUCUCUGACAGAUUUCAGAGACCGUCAUUUCAUUGUUUUUUCCCCUUUUCUGCUGAAAGAUGAUCGAUUUGUGAUGGUCAGGUCGAAAGAAAACGUGGAAAAGGUCAGAACGUCGCAAAGAUCAUAUAUGGAGCUCAGGUCAAUGUCGAGACGAUCACCACCUUACACGCAUAACGAACAGAGGUUCAUGAACUCGCAGAAUGCCUGCACGACAAAGAAACAAAAUGGUCCUCUUCAAAUGUGCCUCAUUUUUAUUUCCACAAUAUUUCUUCCUCACUUCAAAUAUAUUUUUUUCAUCUUCCUCUUCAUCUGUUUUAAUCUUAAAAUUGCAAUUUUUCAGUUUAAUAAUUUUAGAAAUUUUAAAGAUUCUUAGAAGAAACUUUUAAGUUUUAAUUUUCGUCUUUAAAGAUAAAUUUUUCUUUAAAAAUUAAAGGUUUAAGUAAAAUCAAAGUAGAGGAGGAGGACAAUUCAACAACAGUGAUAGUUAGAGAUGAAAUUUGGUGAUCCAUGCAAGUAUGUUAUGCAGAAAUUUAGGAGUCAGAUACUUAAUUGGUCGUCCUGCGUGAAUUGUGGCCCACGUGGUGCUCAAGGAACCAAAACCAAGUGAGAGUAACAUAAUUAAAGCUAUUCAUCUUGCUCCAAAUUUGAAGAUUACGGAAACCAUCAAAAUUGAUUUUGAUGAAAUUAACAAAACUUGCGUAGCAACGGUAUAUUUAAUUUUUUAACUCAUGAAUUAUAAUUUUUUAAAUUAUUUCUUUUUAUUAUUGAAGGGAGAAUCCGUGUCAAAUGAAUGGUUCAGGAUUUUCGAUUAUGGCACAAAUUACUGCAAUUUGCAUAAUUUAGUAACCGAGAUUGGUUUUGAUAAAAGUUCGAAGUUUUUGGAAUUGACAACCAAUGCAGUUUGCACGCAAUA